rnacentral:rRNA from 1 species
UACGUAGGCGGGAAAUUAAGUCAGUAGUGAAAUCCCACAGCUUAACUGUGGGACUGUUAUUGAUACUGGUUUUCUUGAAUAUAGUUGAGGUAGGCGGAAUGUGUAAUGUAGCGGUGAAAUGCUUAGAUAUUACACAGAACACCGAUUGCGAAGGCAGCUUACUAAGCUAUGAUUGACGCUGAGGUACGAAGGCGUGGGGAGCGAACAGGAUUAGAUACCCUGGUAGUCC